CCUACGGGCGGCAGCAGUGAGGAAUAUUGGUCAAUGGCCGGAAGGCUGAACCAGCCAUGCCGCGUGAAGGUCAGUGCCCUAUGGGCGUUAAACUUCUUUUGUGCGGGAGCAAUAAUGGUCACGUGUGGCCAGACGAGAGUACCGUACGAAUAAGCAUCGGCUAACUCCGUGCCAGCAGCCGCGGUAAUACGGGGGAUGCAAGCGUGAUCCGGAUUUCUUGGGUUUAAAGGGUGCGUAGGCUGUGAGGUAAGUCAGCGGUGAAAUGCCCUGGCUCAACGGGGUGAGGUGCCAUUGAUACUGCCUAGCUGGAAUGCGGGUGCCGUGGGAGGAAUGUGUGGUGUAGCGGUGAAAUGCAUAGAUAUCACACAGAACACCGAUUGCGAAGGCAUCUCACGAGUCCGCGAUUGACGCUGAUGCACGAAAGCGUGGGUAUCAAACAGGAUUAGAUACCCGUGUAGUC
rnacentral:rRNA from 1 species